GACGAGCCACACGAACGUUAUUCGGAAUUACUGGGCUUAAAGGGUGCGUAGGCUGCGCGGAAAGUUGGGUGUGAAAUCCCUCGGCUCAACCGAGGAACUGCGCCCAAAACUACCGUGCUCGAGGAAGGUAGAGGUAAGCGGAAUUCCAGGUGUAGCGGUGAAAUGCGUAGAUAUCUGGAGGAACACCGGUGGCGAAGGCGGCAUCCUGGACCAAUUCUGACGCUGAGGAGCGAAAGCCAGGGGAGCAAACGGG
rnacentral:rRNA from 1 species